CCGGAUUCCAUAAUAAAGCAUUUCGUUAUUGCGAGAAAUUGGUAGAUGAUGUCUUGAAGCAUUCAACAUCCUUUACUAAAGAUAUGAUAACGCGACUUCAUGCGUUAUCCAUGAGACUUUACAGACGAGAAUUUAUUGCGCCGUUAUUAGAUAUGAACGGACGCCUGCAACAAUUGUUAGAUCUACUCAAGGAAAACAACGAAACCUUAGGGCACUCGUUCUUGUCU